UACGGGGGUGGCAAGCGUUGUCCGGAUUUACUAGGCGUAAAGGGCAGGUAGGCGGAUAUUUAAGUCAGUUGUUAAAGGCAUUAGCUCAACUAGUGUAAGGCAAUUGAAACUGGAUAUCUAGAAUCAGGUAUAGGUAAAUGGAAUUCCUAGUGUAGCGGUGGAAUGCGCAGAGAUUAGGAAGAACACCAAAGGCGAAGGCAAUUUACUGGGCCAUGAUUGACGCUAAACUGCGAAGGUGUGGGUAUCAAACAGG
rnacentral:rRNA from 1 species